UGAAAUUUUUUGAAAUUAGGGAUUUUGGGUGAAUAGAGACGUGAAAACAAAAAGAAAAAAAAAAUUGAUUCAGAGAGAGAAAUCAAAGUGAAGGUAUAAAAUGUCAUCAAGGUGAGGAAAAUCUUUAUCGGAGCUACGGCCAAAUCGCAACAUAAGCACUAUAUCGAUCGUGUCUCUGAUCAUCCGGUCGAUUUCCUUCUUCGUUAGCGUUGGAAUCCAUCUCUCCACAUAUCUUAUUCCAAAUUUUUU
rnacentral:lncRNA from 1 species